UUUCUACUCCCUCCGUCCGAAAAUACUUGUCAUCAAAAUGGAUAAAAAGAGAUGUAUCUAAAACUAAAAUACGUCUAGAUACAUUUCCUUUUAUCCAUUUUGAUGGCAAGUAUUUCCGGACAGAGGGAGUAUUUG
rnacentral:pre_miRNA from 1 species